UACGUAGGGGGCAAGCGUUGUCCGGAAUCAUUGGGCGUAAAGAGCGUGUAGGCGGCUCGGUAAGUCCGCUGUGAAAGUCCAGGGCUCAACCCUGGAAUGCCGGUGGAAACUGUCGAGCUAGAGUCCGGAAGAGGCGAGUGGAAUUCCUGGUGUAGCGGUGAAAUGCGCAGAUAUCAGGUGGAACACCAGUGGCGAAGGCGGUGUUCUGGGCCAGUACUGACGCUGAGGCGCGAAAGCGUGGGGAGCGAACAGG
rnacentral:rRNA from 1 species